GUAACCAUGGAAAAGCUUGCAAUCAACGCAGUGUGAGUCUUGAAAGCGGAGCGGGGAGAGGAUUUCUGCACCACGGUACCGUACAGGAAUACACUUUAGUAUGCAAACCUACGUGUAUUUACAUAUGUAUAAAAGGUGUAGUCAAACAAUUUAUAUUUAGAGAAAAUAAAUCUGUCACAAGCACAUUAAAAUAAUCAUGUAAUGUUAAAAGUAGUUGUUUAUCAUCAAGCAAACAGUGGAAAUAUUAAGGCUCAUCAUCCAAGAAUAGCCAAACGCCUCAAGCUAUCGGCCUUGUGUGAAAACCUAUCCCUGAAGCCUGGGCGGACACGUGGGCAGACGAGGAUUCUAACCUCCACCGUACAAAGGGAAGAGACAUCUCAGAUCCAGGAAGACACAAUAUGUUUAGACCCUCAUACAGAAGUUCGAGUCCGUUUACCCUCACCUCGGACCUUGAUAUGUGGGACACCAAAUCACGCUUUAGAGCUCAGACCUCAGCAUGGUGUGGCAUGGCAACUGUUUCUGGGACAGAGUUCCUGUCUAGCACCAGCACCAGCACAUCUGGGAGCACUGGUGGCUUCAGACAGACUGACCCGAGUCUGAGGAAGUGGCAGUCAUUGUCCCAUCUGGUGUCUGGGGGUGCUACGCGUACCUUUCCUCCAUCUCCGGGGGCUGAAUUAAGGGCCGCCCGAUGUGAAGGUAGCGUUAGACAAGCAGAAGGGGUGCAGUGGCUUCAGGAUGCUCACAAGCAUUUAGACACUCAGCUGGACCAACUGAGGACCAGAAAUUCACAGCUGAACAAAAACAUAACUACUGCACAACUACUUGACAUGAAACAUAAGCUAUCAGAAACAAUGGGUGCUCUUGAGCAGGAGAAGGAGGCGGCUAAAUUAUCCAAGUGUGAGAAGGGUUGGCAACGUGAAGAGCUUCACGAAAAGGUCCUGCAGCUGGAGAAGGACCUCAUACAAAUGAGGUGUACUUUGAAGAGAGGGAGCAGUGAUCCACCAAAUGAAACAUUACCAAUGAUGCAUGACGUCUUUCACAGACAGGAGAAGCAGAAGGUCGACGCGGAGCUCUGCAGGAUGAGAGAGGCUCUGAGAGAUGCGGAGGCCAGGUCAAAGACACAAGAAGAAGAACAAAACCAGACACAGAAACUGCUGUUGAAUCAAAUAGAGGAGAUGAAUCAACGACUACAGAAUCACUGUGACAUGGAAGAACAACUGAGUGAAGCUAACAACAAGAUCGGUCAAGCGUGCCUGGAUAAAGCCAUCCUGUCGACUCAUGUGCUUAAACUGGAGGAUAACAUAAAAGAACUAAAGGCCAAGCUGACAGAGGCACUGUCUGACAAAGAUUACUUUAUCAAGGAGAAAGCAGAUCUGCAGCAGAGGGUCCUGGAGUUGCAGCUGCAGAUGAACCAACCGAGUUCAGAGGGUUGUGACCCUUUGCCCAACAGUAACGAGCGGCAUCAGGAAGCCGUACUAGUCAAAGUUGAAAACAAGGCUCUUAAAGAGGCAAAUGAAAAGCUGACACGUGAGCUAGAAAUGAUUAAACAGGAACUGAAAACAUCUCAGUCUCAGCUACGGGAGGCAAUGGCAGAGAGGGUUACCAGCUCCAGACAGAUCACAGCCGUGGAGGCAGAACGAGCUCAGCUGAUCAGGGAAAAAGAAGAACUGUUGAUUAAAAUGAAUCAACCCGGACCUGAUGAGUUAGAGAAGAUGAAAGAAAAGUGCCGCCGGCUUAGGAAAUCUGUGGGAGCUUUGGAGUUAGAGAAAGAGAAACUGCAGGAUCGGUGCCAGCGUUUGGAGGUUGAGGUCCUCGAGAAGAGGGAGAAGCUACACCUGCAAGAGGAAGAACAUCGGAAACAAGAUGCAGUGAGAGUCCAGAGCAGCGAGGAGUUAAAAGCAACGGCCUCACACUGGGCAGAGAAAUGGCAGAAUGUGGCUUUGACACUGAAGUCCACACAGGAAGAGCUGGAGGAACACAAAAGGAACAACUCCAGGAGUAAAGAUUCAGACUCACUUCUGAAGUUUGAGCUUGAAGCAUGCAAACGAGAGCUGGAGAGGAGCAGGAGUCAGGCUCUGCUUCACAGUUAUGAAGAUAAAGGCCGUGAAGCCUCGUUGCAAACUAAGGACACAGAGACGCAGACAGUCUUAUCACAAUCCCUUUUGUUAUGGGAGCCGCCAUCGGACUCCCACAGCAGCCAAAACAAAGCCCCUCAGCACUCUGAAGAAGAUGGAGGCCAAGCAAAUGUCUCAACCACUGACUCAUCGAGGGCCCAGCUGGAAGAGAGCAGGGGGAGGACGAACCAGCUGCAGCGGCAGGAAACUCCGGCAGUCCAGAAGCCUCAAACACUGGAGCAGCUUUACCCGGUUAAAGGCGAGGAGCCGUCUGCUGAAGGCAGGAAGAACCAAAUUAAUAUAGAGACGGACCAGCAGCGGAGGAUGGUCACUGAACAGUUAAAGAGUCUAUUUAGGGAGCAAGAAGGAAAGGAAGGAAAGGAGGUGGGACCCGUUCACAACAGCAACAGAUCACCAGUAAGUCAGACUGGAGCCUCCUCUCCUCAAGACUGGUCCCACACGUCUAAAGUUGUAAGGAAUCCAAUGGACAGGAGGAUCUGGCAGCAGAGCUCCGGUUUAAUGCCAGUGUUCGAGGAGGACGAGGAGGGCAGUGACUGGCCGACAGGGGAGGAGGGAAAGCAGGAAGAAGAGGCUCAUGCUGAGGAUGACCUCCACAAUCAGAUAUCAUCUUUGAGUGCAAAAAUCUGCAAUCUGAAGGCAAAAAAAUGUGAAUCUUCUGCAAGCCACACUAACGUGCAAGCAACCCAUUGA
ensembl:lncRNA